rnacentral:rRNA from 1 species
UACGAAGGGGGCUAGCGUUGUUCGGAAUCACUGGGCGUAAAGCGUACGUAGGCGGACCAUUAAGUCGGGGGGUGAAAUCCCAGGGCUCAACCCUGGAACUGCCUUCGAUACUGCUGAGCUAGAGUACUGGAGAGGAGAUUGGAAUUUACGGUGUAGCAGUGAAAUGCGUAGAUAUCGUAAGGAAGACCAGUGGCGAAGGCGGAUCUCUGGACAGUUACUGACACUG